rnacentral:rRNA from 1 species
CAAGUUCGAGCGGAAAGGCCCCYUUUGGGGGUACUCGAGCGGCGAACGGGUGAGUAACACGUGGGUAACCUGCCUUCAGCUCUGGGAUAAGCCUGGGAAACUGGGUCUAAUACUGGAUAUGACGCGUCACUGCAUGGUGGUGUGUGGAAAGUUUUUCGGCUGGAGAUGGACUCGCGGCCUAUCAGCUUGUUGGUGGGGUAGUGGCCUACCAAGGCGAUGACGGGUAGCCGGCCUGAGAGGGCGACCGGCCACACUGGGACUGAGACACGGCCCAGACUCCUACGGGAGGCAGCAGUGGGGAAUAUUGCGCAAUGGGCGGAAGCCUGACGCAGCAACGCCGCGUGAGGGAUGACGGCCUUCGGGUUGUAAACCUCUUUCAGCGCUGACGAAGCCCU